GCCGGGCGUGGUGGCGCACGCCUGUAAUCCCAGCUACUUGGGAGGCUGAUGCGGGAGAACUGCUUGAACCCAGGGGGCGGGGGCUGCAGUGAGCCGAGAUGGUGCCACUGCACUCCAGCCUGGGUGACAGAGCAAGAUUCCGACU
rnacentral:SRP_RNA from 1 species